GGGGAGAGGGCCAGCAAACGUGACUCUGAGGUAAAUCUACACUUGCACACACAGAGGGAUGACGAGAGGAGACGCUGAGCACAGACAGAGCGCUGGCGGUGAUCUCUCUGGUCACAGCGGAGGUGUAAAAGGGGUCACAGUUGGGAUCUCAAUGGACCCUAUACCUACUGAAAAACUGUCUUAAAUAAGCACAUUAUAAAAAGUCUUAUUUGUUUAUU